rnacentral:snRNA from 1 species
GGAUGUGAGGGCGAUCUGGCUGCGACAUCCGUCACCCCAUUGAUUGCCAGGGUUGAUUUGGCUGAUCUGGCUGGCUAGGCAGGUGUCCCCUUCCUCCCUCAAUGCUCCAUGUGCGUCCCUCCUGAAACUGCGUGCGCGGUGGAAAGGGACCGCCACCCCCAGUAGAAGACGACCGUCCCUCGGUCAAGGGUAUACUAGUAGCUGCGCUCCCCUGAUAGAACCUCCAAACAAACUCUUAAGAAUAACCAAAUGGUGGGACACAUGCAGCAACAUGGCCUCAGGAACAACUAGAUUUCUCU